AAUCAUAUGCUUGUCUCAAAGAUUAAGCCAUGCAUGUCUAAGUACAAGCCGCUUUAGCGGCGAGACUGCGGACGGCUCAUUAAAUCGGUUAUGACUCCACUGGGGCCCGACUCUCCACGUGGAUAACGUGCGGUAACUCCGGUGCUAAUACAUGCAACAAGGCUCCGACCGCGGCUUCGGCCGCGGGAAGGGCGCACUUAUUAGGCGAAAACCAAUCGGCUUCGGCCGUUGGUGGACGACACCCGAGUAAUUGCCGCCGAUCGCACGGCCUCGAGCCGGCGACGCCUCCACUGAGUUUCUGAUCUAUCAUGCUGUCGACGGUUGGUGCUAUGCCAACCGUGGCGUUAACGGAUAACAGAGAAUCUGGGUUCGAUUCUGGAGAGGCCGCAUGAGAAACGGCGACCACUUCCAAGAAGGCAGCAGGCACGCAAAUUACCCACUUCGGACACCGAGAGGUAGUGACGAACAAUACCGAUGCGGUGCACUUACGUGUCGCCGUAAUCGGAAUGAGUACACUUCAAAUCCUUUAACGAGGAUCCACUGGAGGGCAAGCCUGGUGCCAGCAGCCGCGGUAAUUCCAGCUCCAGCAGCGUAUAUUUAUAUUGCUGCGUUUAAAAAGCUCGUAGUUGAAGCGUCAGACGCGGGAGGACGGACGGCCGCACUGGUCGCUUCUCGUCCGACCGAGCCAGGCGCAGAGGGCGUCCGUCGGUUGCACUUCACCGUGUGAUCGCGGCGUCGCUGCACGUUCACCUUUGAAGAAAAU
rnacentral:rRNA from 1 species